ensembl:lncRNA
UUUUUUAUGUGAAAUUCUAAAAUUAUAUUUAUUGGCCAAUUCACAGAAAGUGCUGUAGUGACCACAAAAAUGAAUCUAGUUUUAUACAGGUACAGAUGUACAGGCCAAGUUUUAAAAUAACAGAUCUAUUUCCAUUAUGCAUUUAGUAAAUCAUAUGGAAAACAUCAGGAUAUCAAAAAAUCUCAAAUGCAUAAAAAAAACUACAAAGUGAUCUGUUUUUUAAUUAAAUAUACCACUGUGCCAUGGGUGGAGUGGAGAAAGGAGGGUUGUACACAACUUAUUCUCACUAUAUUUAAAGUUAACUUUCAUGUACUUUAUUAUGUGUCAAAAUUUACUGUACAUUUUCAUAAAGAGAAGGGUUUUCUUAAAAAAAGCAGAUUUUUUGUCCAAAAAUCAUUUUCAGUUCAUAUUAAUAUUUUUCAUUGCAUAUAAUCAUUAAAAUCAUCAUCCUGCAUAAAUUGUAUAUAUUCACACCUUCAUAAAUGCAUUUAGCAUCUGCAACAAGACAUUUCAAGACGUGGUUUAUGAUUGUUUCACAUAUACAGUAGGAUAUUUUAUAUAAUGAAUCUCUCUCCUGGACUGAAGAGACUGCAGUUCUGAGACAUACUUUAGAGGUCACAAUCAUAGAGUAUGUGUUUAUUUGAAUCCCAUCGGGCAUAUUUUUUUAUUAUUAUUAAUAGAGGUGGCCACAGUUACACAGAGAUUGGACCGUUCACUGGGAAACAAUCCCAAGGUACAAAAGACAUACUGCCAACUGUGGUUACUGCUCCUCAACAAGAACUAAUGCACUGGUAUGGAAGCAAAUCUGGGAAAUGAUGAACUGCGUGAGAAAAUUUCUACAUUUUUGCAAUCGGAUGAAGUAUAAUUUUUUACUGUCAAGUACAAGAUUGAAUUGUCGCAGCCAAUUAGAGCCCAGAGCUGUCACACUGAAUAUGAUAAGAUUAUUUCUUAGCUCUUAGAUUCCUACACUCUGAAUAACAUGUAAGCUAUUCUAGAACUAUAUGGCUAACUCUAACUAGAAACAAUCCAAAAAGAUUUGAGGUGAUCUCUGCCCUGCUGCUCUCAUGGGUUAAGUCAUGUUUUAUAGUUCCUUGCUCAGGAAGUCCUGUUCUUUUUAUUCUCCAUUUGUGUUGUAACCUCACCUUACAAGACUUAUCUCCCCACCUCAUCUAUUAGACUUGACUUAAUCAUUUAUUAAAUUAAUUAUUCUUCAUUCUAUGACUGGUUUUGGAAAGGUGAUCAGAGAAGAAGAGAGGGGCAGCUAUAGUAAUACAUUUCUUUUCAGAAAAUUGAAAGCUAUUACUGCUAACUUCUCUCAUCCAUCGUAUUCGUCAAUGUUAAGGAAGUCAUCUUUGAUUAUGUGAUGGCAAUUUGUCAUUCCCUGUAACAUCAGCUGUGCAAUGCUUGAUGGCACUUUUACAGGUACAAAGAUGCACUGGUGGAAGUCAGUAUUAGAAGGCUUUGUGUGCCUGCUCCCCCUUUUAUGCUAAUUCUUUCAGACAGAGCAAACAAGGGAUGUACUCAGGUCUUAGUGAAAUGGUGAUGCAGGAUCUCCAUGGCCUUUAAGUACAGGAACUUCAGUUGUUUUCUCUUUCAGGUACAGCAGGAGGGAUAGGAGAAGGAAAUAUAUUAAGUAGAAGAGCCAAGCAACUUACAUCCUUUACUGGCUUGCUGGGUAAACAGGCUUCUGAGACAGAGAAAAGUAUUUUGCUUGGGGCAUGCAUGAGAUCUAGCCAUUUAGUCAUUGUGCUAGAGCCCAUAUAUGCAUUGAAAAUCUAAAACAUAGCAUUAGGCACAGCAGCACUCAGUAAGGAUGGCACAAUUCUAUUCCACUGAAACAGUUAGGAUGUGUCUAGAAAUCUUGUAGAAAGUAGGUGGUGCAUUCUACCAAUAACAUCUGAUGAGAAAUAACUUAUAUUAGUCUGUCUUAAGGAAAUAUAUUGGUAAUGGUUACCAAGGGUAUAACUGAGACUAAUGAGAUAAAAAUGGCAAAAAGUGUUGCUUAAAUUUAUUACCAGGAAAAGCUUUUUACUAGUGGUGGAUUCUAAUGGACUCCCAUAAUUUUAAUGGACUCCCAUGGGAAGGAUUAGAAGCCCCAGGCUUAGACAAAUUUAAGUAGGCUGAGACACCCACUCCCCUCCCCUAACACUAGAAAAUAUAUGCUAGGGAACAAUUCUGUACUGUUACCUGAUAAACUACCCCUACUACUUUUUCUUUACAUCUAAUUUCUACUUUUUUAUUUCUAAGAUUUAAGUAGCCUAGCAACAAUUUCUACAUAUACUGAGAUUUAGAUGAGAUAAUUAUCAGAAGGAACAUGAACCCUAGUGUCUUAUUCUGCAAGCAAUGACCCAGUGCCACAGUUAUCCUUGUGAUGACUGCGUGCACAGAACUACUGUUGACCAUGGCCAAGUAUUUAUUUGAGAUUCUAGUGGUGCAGUAUUUACAACAGAGUAUAAAUAACAUAUUUUGAAAUGACUCCCUCAUUUUUUUGGAGUUUAUGGAGGAUCUAACAAUAAAUAUGUCAGUGUUUGAUUCUGAGAAUGGUGAUAAUAACUUCAGCUCUCAGAGUUGGCUGAGGAUUACUGUUAUCUGUGAAUUUUUUUUUUUUUUUUGUCUUUUCAACAACAAGGUUCCUAACUAUGUGGAUAUUAGAUAAUUGGAUUGUGACAGUAAGUUUAAAGACCCUUGCAACAUGGAGUACAGACUCUGUUGGAUGUUCCUACUUCCUUCUUCAAUCUAUGGAGUAUGUUGGCUGCACAAACUCUCUAACACUUACUAACACAGUUUAUGUGCAAAAAAUUCUUUUUCUUCCUUCCAACUUAAUUGUGUACUAACUGUACUUGAAUCACAAUGGACAAAAUGCUUUGUCCCAGAUUACCAUGGCCCUGAAUUUCAUACUUCAUGUGGCACAUGGUGGUAAGACUUGACUUUACUUGUCAUGGUCUUGCUCAGCUCUGCUGGAGGUACUGGAACUAAUGAGCCAGCUAUAGGCAGUGGCUACCAUGCUAUGUGACUUAAGUUUUAGUUCAUUACUGCAACAACCACAUCGAUGCUGAGAAUGAUGAAGUAUUAGGCAAUUGACACACACACACUCCCUCACUCAAGCUUUCAGUCCCUAUCCAGUUUCUAGAAGAUUACAUUCCAGCUUUUCUUCAUAUCAGCUGGAAACCUUGUCUCUUUCUGUCCAUUUUUCAUGGAUUAUUCUCUCUUACCUUUGUUCACUCUUCCCUAAUCAAUAAUGCAGUUUUCUAUAAAAACUGACUGUAAUUAAUCCAAUUCACAUUCCAAAGAACAUGCCCUGUUAAAACAACUGUUUACCUUCUUGUGUAUAUAUAGGCACUCAUUAGCAGAUUGUAGACAAGGAUUUGUUGCAAAUUUUAGUACUGGUUUGAAAUAUUGUAAUGUGGUAACAGGCUUGGUCAGGGUUACCUGGUCAAGUCCUUUAUAUCCAUUUAUGUUGAGGGGAAAAAUAAACAGAAAGGAAAAAAAAGAAAAAGAGGGAGUUUUUACAAUUUGUAUUUUUUUUCCAUUGAAUUUUAUAUUUUAAUAAGGCUACAGCAACCUGAAGGAACUUUAUAUCCAGCAAAGAAGUUAAACUCUGAAAAUGCAAAACUGUAUGCAGAAUUAUAGAAAAGAAAUCGGUAGGGCAGCAGAAAGGCUUUUACUCUCAGGAAAUUUCUGGAUUUCUAUAGUAUAAGGAUGUAGUACUAUUGUAAAACUUUCGUUCAUCAUUUGGAGACUGUUUUUCUUUGCUUUAUGCACCCUGUGUGGUGAAAGCUGCUUUCUUUCAUCAAACAAUGUACUUAGCUGUGAAAAAAAAUCUUCUGAUUCUUUGCUUUCAACACAGGCGCAAAUAGUGACAAUACAUGACCCUGUUUCUUCCACAGCUGAUGAAUGCUGAAUUUCCACUCGAGUUACAGAACUGAAAAUAGGAAUGAAGGCUUUUUCUGAAUGCUUUUUUAAAUGUUGGUGAUGUUUCAAACUAUUGUGACUGUUUCCUCCUAAGCAAUCACUAAGGAAAUUAGUCUCAAGUUCUUGACUGUAACCAUUGAUGUUCAUCUUGCCUAUCUAGGGUGCUCCGCAAUGGUGAUCUGUAAAUAGUGCUGGAACAGAAUUACUGAACUAUAAGAUCUGCGAGCCCUUUGACAGUGCUUUUUGUAGGGCUCACAGUACUUAGCAGAGAAUGUCAGUAUCAUUAUUCCUAUUUAAAAAGAGCAAAAUGGAAACUAACAGUUGAACCACUGUCAAUACCCACUCAAAAGGCAACAAAAUUCCUCUUAGAAACAAGGCACCUGAUCUGGUGUCAUUGUUUUCAUUGCUGGGAAUGAAGUUAUGAACACGUAGAACCUCCUGGCUUCAUUUUCUUGUGUUAACGUUUCAUCACGUUGGUGUUGCCACUUAUUUGGUAUUAGACACAAGUCUAUGAAAUAAAAGUCCGCGUUCCACUUUCCCCCCUUUUUCUUUUGCUCAGUUCCAGCUUUGCUCAUUUAUGUUUUACGAAUUUCUCUUUUUUAGGAAAAAAUAAUAAUCCCAAACUCAUUAAAAAACAACAAGAAAAAGAGAAACAAGAACAACAAAACCCCUGAUGCUAAAGCAAACAGACUGAUCAUGGAAUAUACUUUAAUUCAUCUGCUGGGUUAUCUGAGAUUUGUGUCACCUCCUUUGCUGUAAAGCUGACCACAUUCAGCAUUAAGGGAUUUCUUAGUUAAUUUUAGCCUAAGGAGGCAGAAAUGUAGUGCUAUUAUAUGAUUGUUGAUACCAGUUGAAACAUGCGGAGUAUCAUAUUUAUAUAGCAGAUUGUUAUAUACAGUUAGUGUUUUCAAAGGUGCAUUUAUUUUUGUUGCAUUUGAUUAUAUAUGUAUUUAAAUUCUCUCUUCUCAGAUUUGCAUGACUGGUGUCUCUGGACAGCCUGAGGCAGAUAUUAAGGAAAGAUCAGCAGUUACAGCGAACGUCCAGGGGUGCACCGAUCACAAGGCCUGCUGUCAGAAGUGAGUGACACACCACGCUGUGGCUAAUACACAACCCUUUCUGCCCUUCCCUCAGUAAUUUUACUUUCUUGUUCAGUAAUUUUAUCAGACCUCAUUGGUUGUUUGUCUGUGAUUUCCAAUUUGCCAGCAGUUGAAUAGCAGCUGACUGAGAUCCUAAAAAGCUCAGAAUUGGCCUGAUAUAAGGUCUGUGACUCUACAGACUCUAUAUUCCAGCAGUUCCAAAUAUUCUUUGAGCAGCUGUAGAUGUCCUGCUUGAAUCUAUACAGAAUCACAGAAAACUCUAGAUACAGCAAGAGUUAUAUUUCCUGUCUAGAUACUGUAUUUUUAUAUCCGUACAUUAAAUAUGUUAAAUUAACAUAUAUAUGAGAAAUACUAGUCUGUGUGUGCUUCUCAGUCUGACAACUGUCAAUACCUGUCAGAACUUUUACUUCAUGAAAGAGUUUUAUUCUUUCUAAUGCUGAGAAUUCAUCAAGAAUCAGCAGACAGACAUCUAGGUAAGUCAAUUUAAAAUACCUUUGUGCAAGCUAUGUUGCCUUCAUUUUCUGCCAAAUGAGCUGUUUUCUUUCUUACUGUUACUGUAAACCUCUUGGGACCUUUUUAACAAUAUAGCAGAAAUAGUGCACAGUUAUUAUACAUCCAGGAAACAGCUACACUGCAGCAAGGUAAAAUAUUUGCUAAAAUAAAUAUAGAAAUAAAAAUUAAGUUGUUAUUCAUGGCUAAGAUUUUAAUUGUCAUAGCAUUAUUUGGCUCCUUUGCCUCCAAAGAGAUUCCUGGAUAUUGUUUAUAUGAAAAUUCUAUCAUGCUAAGAGAAUUUUAUUGUCAUUUAAAGUAAGCAUACAAAAACUUGUAGUGCUAUACUGUUACAGAGAUACUUAAUUCACAAUGCUGAUUAUAUUAAGAAGAGACUUUUCUUAAGUCCUGGAGAUGUUCUCUCUGUUUAAUUUCUUUUUCCUCCCUAAGUAAUUAAGUAUCCUCAUCCUUUUCCAUACAUCCUUAAUUUGGUAAUAAUAAUUUAUAUUCCAGAAUAGCUGAAGCAGCUGCUUGGGGACAUCCCAUCAGACUUUUUUCUGUCACCUGAGUAACACCUUUCCUUUCUUCGUCUGCCAGGCAUGGAUGAUGGUAGAAAUCAUCAGCGUGCAGCAUGUGCCAGCACCAAAGCUUCCAUCAGAGGCAGUAUCAUCUUCCAGCCUGCUUGAGUCCUCACCAGGAACAUCCUAUUAAGUCAAGACCAACCGCUUGUUUCUUUGGGAGAGAGAAGAGGACAUAGCUCAUUUUAAACAGCAAAUUACAAAGGUCAGUGAUAAAAUAGUAAAUAAAAGGAACUAUGCAGCAGAAAAGCCACUAGGCAGCAUUCACUUCCAUGCCAUUUUGGUUUUUAUGCAUUAGAACAGUUAUCCUAG